CUUGUAACCUUCAGUUCAGCCCCAUCUCUCUGUUGCUGUGGAAGGACUUGGCAUCUAGUAAUUCCCUUCUUGUAAUGAGCUGUACAUCGCUAGCUGGGUACCCACAAUUUCAAGAGAAAGGUCAAAAAGAAAAAAAGUAUAUUGGGAGCAUCCUGCACUCUGAAUUUUCAAGAAAGCAUAUGUUAGUGCAGAGGCCUGCUGUGCGAUAUGAGCUUUCAAGGAACAAGUUCAGAUAGAAGAUCAUUGAGUCAAACCAAAAACAAUUCCAAAAUCACUUAGGAGCGAACAAGACUUUCAAAACUGUUUCCAGUAUCUCCGAAGAAUUGCUGUCUUUCUUGAAAAAAGUCCUACAGUUCCUGCCACCCAGCUCUAAUGCAACCAGUACACCCAUAUUUCAAGAGUACUGAAGCUACAGUAUAUGGAAAUAGUUCCAGUUACUCCAUGCCUCCAGCUUCCAUCUAUGUUCUUCGUUACUUCUCUAUUAUUACUUUUCUUCAUGUCAUAUUACACACUAAUGGCACAAUAGCUGCUGCGCUUGUCAAAUAUACUGUCUUAGUAAAUUGUAAGAAUGCAAAUUGUUCAUAUUUGCCUCUAUAAAACAAUAAAUCCUUGCUU